UCUACGGGAGGCAGCAGUAGGGAAUCUUCCACAAUGGACGAAAGUCUGAUGGAGCAACGCCGCGUGAGUGAAGAAGGGUUUCGGCUCGUAAAGCUCUGUUGGUAGUGAAGAAAGAUAGAGGUAGUAACUUGCCUUUCUUUUACGGUAAUUACUUGGAAAGUCACGGCUAACUACGUGACAGCAGCCGCGGUAAUACGUAGGUGGCAAGCGUUGUCCGGAUUGAUUGGGAGUAAGGCGAGUGCAGGCGGUUCAAUAAGUCUGAUGUGAAAGCCUUCGGCACAACCGGAGAAUUGCAUCAGAAACUGUGGGACUUGAGUGCAGAAGAGGAGAGUGGAACUCGAGGUGUAGCGGUGGAAUGCGUAGAUAUAUGGAAGAACACCAGUGGCGAAGGCGGCUCUCUGGUCUGCAACUGACGCUGAGGCUCGAAAGCAUGGGUAGCGAACAGGAUUAGAUACCCUAGUAGUC
rnacentral:rRNA from 1 species